rnacentral:rRNA from 1 species
CACGGGGGGAGCAAGCGUUGUUCGGAAUCACUGGGCGUAAAGGGCGUGUAGGCGGUCGAGUAAGUGGAAUGUGAAAUACUCCGGCUCACCCGGAGCACUGCAUCCCCAAACUGCUCGGCUUGAGUAUGGGAGAGGACGAGGGAAUUCCUGGUGUAGCGGUGAAAUGCGUAGAUAUCAGGAGGAACACCGGUGGCGAAAGCGCUCGUCUGGCCCAAUACUGAGCUGAUGCGCGAAAGCUAGGGGAGC